CAGAAUUAAGUAUAGCUGCAAACCUGCUAUGUGUGUGCAUUUUUUUGAUGGAAAUCACCCACUAGGCUGUAGCAUAUGUAUGGCUGAGUAAUAGCUUCUUCUGUGCUGAGCUGGCUGCGGCUCAUCGUUCGCUGCACAUUCACUCCAUGUUAAAGGCCAGACCCUGCUUCAUUACACAGUGUCUUAACCUUGUUUUGCCCUUCUAUCCAAUGACAGCUGCUUUGUUUCCUUUCGCUAGCAGUCAAACAUCACAAAUUCCUUCUCUGUAAAGCCAUUAAAAGAGAACCAACACCACCCCAAGUGGUUUCAGGACUAACUGAUUUAGAUGCUGGAGUCUGUUGCAGGGCCAAAAAUAACUCCCCAUUUCUUUCUCCUUCAUUGGUGAAAGGAGAAGAGAAAGUGGCCAAUGACAGAGACACAACUUCCCCGUAGGCACCAGAGACAAAUCUAUUUCAUAGCAGGAAAAAAAAAUAAUGCUCCUGAAAAAUGUUUCUUUGCUCGGGCCAAUAGACACAGAACCGCUGCAUGUAAUUUUGCUGAACCGAUGGUAUCACUUGAAUGGCUCACGGACUACAUAAAAUGCAUUACAUAAUUAUAUUUUUAAACACUGUCCCCAGCUGUGCUGAUGCACACAAAAGCUGUGUUUACAAUGGACUCUGCACAUGUAAUUAUUUUGUGGCACUAGCUCCGCGCAUUUCCUUGAUGGAUGCUCCAUGGUGCAUAAAAUUGUAGCUUUUAUCAAGAUUCUUGGAUGUAUUCUUUGGCUGUUUCAGCUUUAAACACCCAGCUGUCCUCACAUGGGUGUGCAGGCCUGAUGUCUGGGAGGGGUAAGUUAUAGCAUCUGGGGAACACCUUGCUCUGGGAGCUGCAGGGGGGAACGGUGAUCAGCUGGAAGCAUGCUGAGCAGCAGAGCCUGCUGCUCCUCUCAGGGAGGUUUGCUGCGCUGUUCCUUGGGAUGUGGCACCUGCUCUGCUCCUAUUUGUCUUGCACAUCUUCAUCCUAGCCCCGUUAAGGCUGUAGCAACCCGACCCAGCCACUUUGCAGCACAGGGGGGCGAGGUGGUGCCUUGCAUCUGUGCAGGUGCAGGAGAGAAGGGGCUGCAGGCUGUGGUUGCAAAGUCAAACAGCGUGGCUUGCAGGGUACCAGACCCAAAGAUCAGCUUUGGUUUGUAUUCUGUUCCGUUUGCAUACAGAAAGCUCCCUUGGCUGUUCUCCAUCCUGUUCUGGAAUACCGAGUGUUUCUCCAUCUGAACGCAGUGGCUGAUGUGUGGGACUCAGCAAAGAGGACAGUGGGAUAUUUAUCUUAGAUCUGUUCCAGUGCUCUUGAGUAUUAAUAUCACUGUGAAAACCUAGAUGCUGGAAGGAUCGGUACGCAUCACGGUCCAAGAGUUUUGCCUGCCAAGCAGUAAAGCUUGGAAAUAAAUAAAGACAAAAAGUAAUAGUCCUGAGCAUCGGUUUCAAAGUAAUGGGAUAGCAGCACUGCUGGUAGCGACCUUUUUAUUACUAUCACUGCAGAGAACUGGCGGAUUUUUCUUGUCAAUAAGCAAGAUGGCUUGGCACCGUAUCUCUCAUCCCUUGGGUACGAGACUCCACAGAGGAAAUGCUGAUGUUGUCGUGAGCCAAUUUUUAAUAGCAGGUGUUUGGUUGGAACUCCAGCCUGCCUUGUGGCAGCAGGGAGUGCGAGUCCUUCUGUUACCAUUCCUUGCUCUUUUCAGCCCUGCGUUUGACUGUGGAAGCUGAGAGCCUGGGGGAAGUUGCGCCAUGUAAAGCAGUCAUUGCUCAAUAGUGAAUGAGUUAUUCCACAGCAAAUGGUCUGGCUGCUGGUACACCAAGUUUUCCACUCUCACAUGAAUACAGUCAUUUCCCAUCAUGGAAACUGUGUGGCUAUGGAUGCCCUUAGCAUUCCCCCUGUCUGGCAUGUUAAGUUUACAUACCAGCUUUGAGGCUGCUGGUCCGUUUUGCACCAAAGGGUCAGGCGAUGGAGGAAGAAUCUCUGGAGUGGAAAAAAUGUGGAACUGCAGAAGUUUAUUGUAUGUUUGUUUGCAUAGCCUGCCUUCCAGAUAAAUCGCAUCUCUCCUAGUACAGCAGCGCUGGAAAAAGAGCCCUUGGAUGACCCACUUGGAGUCUGAGACACCAGAGGGGCUACUUCAGAAAAGAAAGCAGAGGAAGGCGCCAGAAGCCAUGCAGAAGAAACACAUCUGGAGUAAGCAGUGCUUUGUGUUGUCCACGUGUGUGCACGUGCUGCAUCUGGAUCACAAGCCAUUGUUAUUUUAUUGGGGAUAGUGUGUCUUGUACAUAUACAGACUGCAUUUUUCACCCUGCAUGCUUCUUACUAAGGCAUAACGUAUUACUUUCUCAAGGGCCCAUUUCCUACUGCUCCCUUUAUCUUCCCUUAGGGAGCCCCACUAGAGUCCAUCAGCCACCUAGGCCAAAAAUAUGUUUUUCAAAUGCCUGAUCAUCUAAUACCAAUCAGCAUAAUUCCACCUGCUUUGAUAAAGCUGUGACUUAAGCCAGUGAAGAUCAAACUCCUUGAUAUUUAAUGCAACAUAGAUAAGCUCAAAAACUUGUGAGCAAGGAAUAUUUCUAGGUGUAACACGUUUCUGCCAUUACUCCACGAUAUUAGCUGCAGUUUCUUGCUGCAGAUGCUUGUUCAAGGCUCAUGUUUAUCUUUAGAGAAGAUGGAAAUAGGAGUUGCCUGUCUUUUGCAAAAUGCUGAUGCUGUGUACAAGCAGAAGUAAGAAUUCACGCAGAAGUGAAGACAAGUCUUGCAGUUCAACAGGAAGAAAACAGAUGUCUUUAGACUGCUGUUUGAACCUUGACCAUUGCCCUUUUGUACCUCUGAGUCACCAGAGGCUUCUGUUUCCAAAAACAAGAUAAUGCCUUGAAGAGCCAAAGUUCAGUGUAAAUUAUGUCACGACUAUAGGAGCUGAGGUGUCAUCUUUGCUGCAGCGAUUCCCUCUUGGAAAUGUUCGAUAAAGCGUGGAAGAAAGUGGCACUGACUCGAUAUAUCUCUGGAGCACUGCAAGUCCAUUCCUGCCAUACUACUAACUGAGGGAAGCGUUUUCUUUUUUUAAUUCCACAAAGCUCUAUAACUGUAUUAUCCAAGCAGCUAAGCACUCAGAUUACGUAAGCUGAACAUAAUAGGAGGUCUGUAAAACUUUGCUGCUCACAGUCUUGGAAAUUUCUACAUUGCUAUUUAAUGGUGACUCAGCUGCAGAUCUCCCAGAUGAUCUCGGAGAACACAUGAUGGGGUUCCGUCUUUGGGAGAGCAGAAUGUGGCCCUCAAGUAUGGCCGCGGCUGGGGCCUUGCUCUCCUGUGCACCCUCAGCUGCUCUGAGAGGUCUUGAGCUGCUGAUCAGCAGAUACUCACUGCCACACCUUCCGGUUCUGUCCUUCUAGGAAUGUUUACCUUGUGUUUUCAAAGCAAUCCACCUCCUGAUUUGCACAGCAGGAGAAUUUAACUGUCGUGCCAGAUAGCAACCUCAAAAUGUACUUUUACGGUCUGUUUCUUCUAAAGGAUAUUUUUGGCCGUAUAAGUGAUGUUUUAAGAAUAAUUUGACUAAGCACUAUUUUUAUGACAUGUAUAGCUUCAUAGCGCAUUACUAACCAUAUGGCCAAACACAGUGCCUGAAGUUACAUGGCAGAGUUUACUGCCCAGUCGGAAUGAAAAACAUCUAUUUUUGAAUGGCUGUGUAUUGGGGGGAAAAACAUGAGUCUUAUGGGAAGCAGCUGAAGGAACUGGGAUUGUUGAGUCUGGAGUAGAGGAGGCUCAGGGGAGAUCUUAUUGCUCUCUACAGCUGCCUGAAAGGAGGUUGUGAUGAGGUAGGUGUUGGCCUCUUCUCCCAGGUAACAGCGAGUGAUAGGACAAGAGGGAAUGGCUUCAAUUUGAGUCAGGGGAGUUUCGGUUGGGGUAUUAGGAAAAACUUCUUCACAUAAAGAGUGGUCAAGCCUUGGGACAGGCUGUCCAGGGAGGUGGAGCAGUCACUGGCCCUGGAGGUGUUGAAGGAAGGGGAAGAUGUUGUACUAAGGGACGUGGUUUAGUGGGAAAUAUUGGUGGAGGGUGGACGGUUGGACUAGAUGAUCUUAGAGGUCUUUUCCAACUCUAAUGAUUCUGUGAUUCUAUGAUUAUAUUUAAAAGUCACAACCUUGUGACCUUUCUUGGUUUUCUUGGUUUUCCCUUGGUCUUGAAUGAGGCUCAUCAUCGUAUCUUACCUAGAUCUUAUCUUGGCAGUGGUAAGAGCUCAUGAGGCCAGAUGGCUCAUGGAAUGACUGGUGAGGGCUUUGUGGUGAAACUAUGUCAACUGUGACUGAAGUUUAUCAUUGGCAUUAUUUGACAGUGUAGGGUAUGUGAGCCCAGCUUGCUGUAGAGAUGUGUCUUCAAUGUGAAAUCCACUGACUCAGUUUGUAUCCGUUAGUGUUGGGCAGAAACACCAAGCACUGAUGUGGCACAGUGAUGAACUGCGCUCAGACGUAGCCUCUCUGGAUUAGAGCUGGGCUGUUCCAUGAGGCCAAUGAUGUUUCCAUUACUUUGUGUUUUCCUCUUCUGCAGACAAAUCAUUCCAGUCAGAUGCAUGCACACACUGGGAUGUUCAUGCAGAAACCCAGACUGGUUCUCCCAGGACCAGGCCCAACUACUCAGUUGGGACUGCCUUACUAACUGAGGCGUAACAGUAGUUAGGUGGGCCUCGAUGCAAAUGUCGCAGGGGGUUUCCCUGCAUGUUUCCAAUGUAUGACUCUACUGAAAUAUCCUCCUUCAGCUUGCUUGGUCACCAUCCCUGGCAUCUGCAAUGCUUUGUGGGUAGCUUUACUGUUCUCGUAAUACCAGCAGCUCUUGUACAAUCUCAAAUCAGCAGUUGUUCUCUUAAGUCAACGCAGGUUUCACCUAUCAUAUUGACUCAGUAGCACACUGCAAAAUUCACCUACUCCCUUAUUCUGCCAAUGAUCACAUCCUAUUACCUGUAAAGCGAUGAUCAACUUCCCCAUUUCUGCCAUAAAACGUAAUUUCCUGUGAGAAAGAACAAGCUCCACCUUCAGAGGGUUGCAAAUGAAACAGGGUGUGUUCAGGGGGUAGGAAGGGGACAUUUGCUGGUUUUGCUCUCGGGAGCCAGGAGACAAAGUGGGGAUCAGGGAAGUCAAGAGCUUUAGCCCUGGCUUUGGUAACGAUUUUCUGUAUGGCCUUUUGUGAGCUCUUUCACGUCUCCACCUCGUUCUGCCCAAGCCUAAAAUGGAGCUCAGAAUCGUCACUUUUCUAACACCUCCCCCUCCCCACACACGGAGGGAGUUGUGAGCAGGUUUAAUGUUUAUCUCGGAGGCUUUGAACGGUAUCAUCCAUCCAGGGAAUGUAUGCGGGCAUUCAGACCCCACAGUGAGCUUUAUAAAAUCGUCAAGAAAUAAAAAGGCAUCUAUAUUAAUCAUAAAUCAAGGACUGGAACAGAACACUUGGUUAACAAACCUGCGAAACAAGCUUUGUUUCAUUGGCUUGCGCUGCUUUAUGGUUCUGUUUGUGUAUGUGGAAGUGAUGUUCAGUAUUUUUAAAUGAGUCACAGGACUGGAAGAACAAAAAUAUUGGAUGGUAACAUAUAGCAGCAAAACAAUUACUCUUUUCAUUCUGACAAGCACAAUAACCAGAAUAGCUAGUUAGAGCUGGAGGUCUGGGCACAGAGCUCCUUUCGAUCUACCAGAGAUUUUCGAUCUACUUGCAAGACAGGCAAGCAGAACUGAAAUGUUAUAAUGAUAAAAGAUAGCAUUAGGUGAAACAAUAAAAUCAAGCAUGCCGUUGGGGUAUGGGUAUUUACAGGCAUGAAGGCUCUCCCGAUCAGUGCUGCAUGCAGAAUGCUCCCACAGCCAGCCUCGUCUAGCAGCUUUCUGUACCUUUAUCCAGAGGAGACUCCUUUCCACCCUGCUUGCUGCAUUGCACCACUGAUUUAGUGAAGACAUCAUCCUCAUAAGGAUGCUCUUCUAACUCACCUCUGAAAUCUGCUUGCUUUUCUCCUCUGACAAUUAGGUUUAAAUGUGCUGCAGCAAAGUACUCAUCCUUAACAGUCGUAUGGCUUUUUAAGUGAUAAACUGCAUUAGCAAAUUCCUUAUUAGAUAAUCUAUCAAAUGAGGUCAUACGUAAUUUUAGCAGUCUCAUCUUGAUUUAUAACACGAUCGCAGCAAAUUACGCAUAGGAGAGCAGCGUGCUGGCUGUCACACUCAGGUGCUCUCACUGUGCUGGGACAGCAGUGCCCAGGCUGGCCGGCAGCUGGCAGCCCUCCCUGUUGCCACAGUGGGACCCAGCUGACUUAGAGCCCUGGGGCUCAGCCCUGGCUUUCUUGGGACCCAUAGGACGUCGAGGCAGGUGUCUAAGCCCUUGCUCCAAACCUCCUAGCAGUAGUCCUUUGUGGUGUUCGUUCUGACAGGCUUUCCCCUUAAAUAGGGGCAUCAGCUCUCCAAAAAGCCAGCUGAUGGGUGGGGUGCCUGCCUGCAGCCUGGCUGCCCGCCAGCCAAAGCCCAAGUGAUGAAAUCCAGGGGGAAAGGGAGGGGAAACACCGCUUCAGAAGGACGCUGUGCUGCUGCUGCUGCAGAUCCUCCAUCCCCACAGUGGAGGUGCUCCCGGGACCGGGAGGAGACGCAAUUCCUAUCCCCCAGCUGCAAACUUCUUCCACAAACAUUAUUUUAUCCUUUGAGAUUUAUCUGUAACUCCCGCAGGGGGAGCUGCAAUAAAUUAUCUGGCCUCGCCCUUCUCCUCACCUGCUCUCACCUCACGUUGGUAUUUCUGGGGUCUGAGCUGUGCUGAGCCUCGAGGGCUCGUGUCAUCUGCAUGUCUCAGAAUAACUUAUGUCUCUCCCUCUGUACUUACGGCCAAACCCUGCCCGGGAAGGACAAAGGAGGAUGGAACGAGAUUUAUCCCUCGGCAUUGUAGGUAUCUGCCCCUAAGCUGUAAAAUAAGAGCUGAAUAAGAAUCUUGAUAAACAUUUCCUUGGGCAAUAUCAAAUAGAGGCCUAGCUAUCGCUGCAGGAAAACUUCUGGAAACUCUGAGUAGGCAGAACACCGCACUGCUUUUGGAGGAACGUUCCUGGAGUGAGGGACUGGAGAAAUCAAAGCAGUUCAUCGAGAAGAGUAAGCAAAGGGAACGCUUGCUGUGGAUGGCACUGCUGUUUUGCACACCCUAAGCUGUGUAUGGCAGAUUGCAGCAGAGCCUGGGGAAGGCAAUUAAAGACCCAGAUGAAGACCAGAACAUCAGACGUCCCUCUGGAGCCCACGUGCCCGAACUGCCGUUCCUCCCCACCCUAAUAUAAACAGCGGGGCAAAAGGGCUCAUUUCUCAGCUGCCACUGAGCAGCGUCGGCUGACGGCAGCGCCGGGACCCCCAAAGCCCUGCCCGGACCCCAGGAGGGGCCCGACCUCUCAGCCCUGCUCCCCGCAGGCAUGGGGGGCACAGCUCCAUCUCCGUGCCUGGCAGCGACGUGCCCACGGGCCCCCAGCAGCGAGCAGCCCGGGUUGGACGCUCGUGCUGCAGACCUGCCUCUGCAGAGGUGUUUGCAGCCAUUGGCACGGGCGCUGCAGAGCCGUUGCCUGGCAGCACGCGCGUCCUCUUCCCCGUGACGAGCGCUGAGCGUCGUCUCCAUCGACCCGACCGCCUCCCAGGCUUCAGCUCCCUGCCCGGGAUAGAGAGCCAAAGGCAGCCUGCGUGCGGGAUGCGGAGACCGUUGCGCUAAACCUCACAGGCUUGAAGGCUCAAGCUGCACGAGGGCAGGCAGGAGCUGCUCUCUUCUCACUGACCGUUUGCCAUGACAUGAGAAUGAACAUCGUGCAACAGGCGACCUACAGCUACAGCUCCAUUCUCCACAGCAUCCCCGCCUUGAGCAGUGGCAGUGGCACAGCAAAGCUGGGCAAACCAAGAGGGGCAGGGACCAGCUGCAGGGAGGUGCAGGGAGGCAGCACGGAAGUUCACCCACCUUCAGAUGAAAAGGGAAACCGGUGGUGGGAAGGGCACGAGAGGAGCAAUGGCGCGAUGGGGAUGGGAAUAGCUGCUGAGGCUGGAGGAGGGUGGGGAGGAAGGGCUGCUCCUGCAUCGCCAGCCCCAGCUCUAGCACCAAACACAAGCAUGAGCUGUCACUGCUGUGGAAUGCAGCAGAUGGCCAAAUUGUUAGAUUCUCCCUUGCAAGAGCAAAAUGAUAUACUGUUUUUUACCAUCCUUGCCUGGAGCUGAGUGCUUGCUUCGCAUACCAUGAAGAUAUACUGUACAAAGGUACUUCGUGCCAGAAAUGUGCUCUAGUGAUAAUCAGGAGAAAACUGUGCUUAAAGUGACAUUUAAAAAAUAAUUAUUAUGGUCCAUUGCUGUUAGUCACACGUCCCCAAAGCUGAUCUGGCUAACAGAGCUUUCCAAAGCAUUUUUCCUUGAUAUGUCAUCUGGAAAUUAUGCCAUCGUGCUGUCACCGUGUCUUGCCUUGCAAUCACCCGGACACUAUCUAUGUGCUCACACACACCAGUUUUUUUCCCUCUUUUAGGGGGAAAGAAAUUCUCUUUUCCUUUCUCUGUUUCUCACGCUGCUUUGGCUGUGGUCAUACCGCUUCUUGGCUCAGCCAUUUGCUGGAGAGAAGAGGCCUUACUGCUGCAGUGCUGGCUAUGAAGCACCGCGAUCCCACCUCCCCUUGCUUGAGGCCUCAGCCAGCAGCACUGCUGGGCCCUGAUGUGCCCCGCAGCAGCUGAAGGCUCUGCAGAACCCAGGUCUGUGUACAGAUGCUGCAGAGCUCACCUGCGUCAUACUAAUAUCAGGUGCUUGAAACUUUAUAUUGGAGGCCCAGGGCUGUGAGUGGCGAGUCAUUGCAGCAGGUGUGCUUUGCCAGCUCCAGCUCUGAGCUGACGAUAAGGGAGAGGGGGGAGGCUCUCAAGAGAGCCCUGGCGGAGACUGAAGUGGAAGAGAAAACCCAGAGUGCCUGGUAAGCCUGUUUAUUGAUCCGUCUCAAUGAAUGCAAAACCCAGGGCAAGGAUCAACGUGGUCUGCAAUCAAGUGAAUGGUAGAGAACGAUCAUUUUCUUGUUGAUGUCUUUUGCGUUCCACUGGAUAUGCUUUGUAAGGAUCGUUGUCUGCUGAGUAUAUGGUGCGCUCUCUCUUCCUGACAGUCCUUUAAAACUUGGACACGUUUUGUUUUCUUUAUAUGGAAAGGCUUCAGUGGGUCAUCUGUAAGCUUUGUUUCCAAAGGUGUUAGGAUGUCUUAAACCUUCAUUAUAGCCUGCCUUUCCUUUGCUGCCCAUCUACAGAACACUCCUGCCUGUGUCACUGCGGUUUGUGCUGCAGCAGCACAUCCUCCCUCCUCUCCUUACACUUUCUCUCAUCCCUUUGCUCAGAAGCUCCUGCUAAGCGUCCCACAGCCAUGACACACUGGCCUACCAGCCUCUCAUCUCCAGUGAAACCUCCAAAUCUCCCCUCUGAGGCCCCCAGUAACUUCCUCUCUGAACUUGCUCCUCUGUUUCUCAGUCAUUCCUCCUUCCUGCUCAUUUUGUCUUGUUCUCGGAUGGUUCAACGCUGCUUUCUUCUUCCUGCUCAUCUGGCACCUGGGUCCAUCUCCUAUCUUCCAUUAGCCAAACAUUCCCUCUCUCAUUCUGUCCAAUCUACCCUGAAUCCCCAUCUUCUUCCCUGGCAAAACUAAACUUCCUCCAGCCAGGUAACAAGGGGGAUCUUUUCUGCGCUGAUGUGAAGGCACGCUUUGGCUAGGUAAAGACAUUAAAACACGCAUUUCUGAAUUAUCCUUAAAGCUGCUCAAGGAAUAAAUGCAAGCUGCAGGCUAUUAGAAUAGGUCUGGGGUCUUGUUUUCUCUACUGCCUUACACUCUCACGUCAUCACUGUCUAUGUUCAAGUUGCUUUUAGCAUCUUUACAUUCCUGCUCAUGACAAACAAUAGGGAACAGCUCCCGUAGAGCACAGGAAAUAUAGCAGCAAGUGUCUCGCAUCCAUUUUUCAUCUGUCAUCAAAUAGCUUUUAUUCAUGGCAUAGCACAAGUGUCAGCCAACUGGCAAAGACAGCCUGUAUUAAAAAUGCUGGGGAUUAUUCAUGUCAACAGGCACAAGGGAGCUCUUCUCGGUUGGCGGACCUGCAGCAGCAGUGCUAUGGAAAUGCAGCAGGUCCUCCAGAGUAAUCUCAAAUCUGAACAACUUCAGAAAGAGGCCAACAACUGAUGAUCAUUUCCAAGCACAAUUCAAAAAACAAAAUCUAGCACAAUCAGAUGAGAGCUUGGGUAGAGGGUUAGCUGUGGGUACGCAGGAAAGCUUAUAUCAGAAGCAUGUUAUGUAGAAGGACUAAGGUGAUAUUUUUAUAACAGUGCUUAGAUUGAAGAUGGUCUGCAGGCUGUGAGCUGGUGCUUUCUUCUGGAGUUGACUUCUGGUUAGGUAAUUAUCAGGUAGACGGGGCCUCGGCCCCUCUGAUUGCAGGCCUUGACUGCUUGAACGUAUUGGGAAUGUGAUCUUCACUGGCCAAGUGAUUUGUCUUUUAUGGACAAGGUAUAAUUUAGAAAUCAGUAAUUCUUUUUCCUUUUAGUGAUUUUUUUUUUUUUUAAAGCCCCGUUUCACUGAAAAUCUCUGUUACUAUAUUUGUCAGACCAUUACUAAGGAAAAACAGAACAUAAGAUGGACACAAACAACAAAACUGCUUACCUUAACACAUGAGGUAAUAUAGGAAAAUUACAGAGAUUUCAUAUAUCUCAAGUUAGCUCCGAAGGGCAGUUCCCCAUUGAUUAUUUCAAGCCCGCUGUAUUUGCAAAAUCCUCUAUAUCCUGCCACCUCUUCUUGCCUUUUUGAAUUGUUACUGUUGAAGCGUGUGGCCUGCUUCUCUCCCCCCUCCAUUACUGUGGACUUGUUUCAUUCUCUAAACUGAUGCUAUGUGCAUGUGACAUCAGGAGCAAUGUAAGUGGAAGAUAAAAAGUAAGGCCCGUGCAAGUGAUCACGAAUGAGGUGACCUCAUCUGAUCUGACACAGAUCUACGUUCCACUUAUGCUCCGGAAAAUCUUGGAUGCUGUAUUUUAGUAAAAACCUCAUUUCUGCACAAACGCGUGAUACAGAAGAAGCCCAACCAGCAAAACCUGAAGAUGUAUCCCAUGGCAUCUCCAUGACAACGUAUAGAUGCACAUUCUGCUCCAUACAUCCGCACGGGCAGACGGCUUGCUCUCAGCUCACCCACUACAGAGCUGAAGGCAGGCCAAGGGCUGCUGCAGUGAAAGGUGCUGGGAUUUAAUGUGGAAACUGCAGCUCAUCGUUCACGCAGGAUAAAACUGUGGCAAAUGAAAGAGCCUUCUCAGAGGGUGAGCUGUGUACUCGAGCUCUGGUUGCUGAGCUGCUCGGUGCCAGGGAGGCAUGGUGCUGGCAGGUGUCCGGUGGGCACUGGGAGCCACAUGGAGGCCCUUCGCUAGGCACUCCAAGGCUUUCUGGAGGGCUGUUGCUACACCUCAGUGGCAGAGCUAGAUAAGAACAGGAGGCAGUUUGGGUUAAUGAGUUACUCUAGAGGUUGUUCCCGCCCUGCACAUGCAGGAUGGAGGGCGAGUGAUCCUGUGGAGGCCCCGAGGCAGCAAGUGCCAUCACUGCUCCUCGGGGGCAUGCGGGACACCAGACUGGCCAGCAUCCCCGAGCAGUGACAGCCUCAGUAAAUCCCCUCUCCUGGCUGCCUUCCUACCCUGCCUCAUGCCCUGCCAGUGUGCCUGGCGUCCCACCCACUGAAGCAGCCAAAGCGCUGCAGUUUCACACCCAGCUGAUGAUGCGGGGCUCCUCCAUCCGCUGUGCCCCCAGCACAGCCCCAGCCCGGCUGCUGCAGUGCCCGCAGUGCAGUCUGUGGAGCUGAACCGAUGCCUGCAGCAUUCCAGAGAUAUUUGCUAUAAGCAGGGCGGUGCAUUCAGCUGCCCAACAGAGCAAGGCUGGCUUCUCCAUCCUUGUUUCUGAUAUCUGUGCUGGAACAUGGAAAUUCACCUGCGCCUGUAAGCAAGGCACCUUAAGCAAGUUAGCUCUGCUGCUCAAGUUUCCUUUCCGAGACAUGGAGAUAACAAUACUGACCUUCUUUGCAGAGCACUUUCUUGUUAGUUAUUAUUUUACAAGGCAUGCCACAUAAAGGCUGGUUGUUAUCUUUUGUUCGGCUGUAAAAAGUUCUCAGCCUAACAAUGGGGCAUGGCAUGUUACCAGCCAUAAAAAGAGUUACACUGAUCUUUAGCAUUUAAGAGUGGACCUUUGUUCUGCUUGGUUACUUAUAACCUUUACAGUGGUGUGGCUUAGUCUCUUACCUUUUUUCCUUUUUCCACACUCUGUGUAUAUGUACUGUGUACAUGUGGUUGACUUUUGCUUUUGUCAGGGUCAAAGAUUGCAUUUUUUAGCCUAACAUACCAAUGUCAGCCAAGUGACCAACCUGUGAUCUGCCAUUCAGCACAUUUCCUCUGAAAUAGAAGGAAAAUUAGUUUGCCAACAGACAAGAAGCACGGACGAGAAAACACAGAACCAAAAAGGACUAAAAGGAUUAUGAUCCCUAAGAAAUGAUCUGCCUUCAGCACAUAUUCUAUGAACAUGUCGUGCUGACUGCCAGAACUUGUCCAUACUUUGCAGCUUUCAUCCUGUUGCCAGAGCUGGCAGCUGUUAUCCUGGUUGCCAAUCUUCCUGUCCAGCUGUACAUCCUCCAGCCUGAAAACAUCUUCUUCAGCCUCUCAAGGAGAACAGAAACAGAUCCAUAGUCUCUUGGUGGAGAUGAUUUUGCAGGGCUGUGAUCCAAGCCAGAAGGCUGAGCAGGAGUCCACUUUCCAUGCACAAGCUACCACCGCAGAAAUGAUGUGCAAAAUGGCUCUUUUACUCUUCACUCAAGGCUUUUAAGGACAUUUGCAGACCUUGUACGCAGUGGGAAAGAGGCAGAGGAGGAGAGUGACUGGGCAGCCCUCCCUUCUUUCCAAGUGGAAGCGGCCUAGCAGGCUGUUUUUAUCUCCAGGACUCCUCCUGAAGGACAUGCUGAAUUAAUGCCCCAAGCAGGAGUGCAGCUGAAGGCUCACCGUGCCCUACAGAGAAGUGACAACACAGCCGCAGGUGGCAGGACCCCUCCCUUGGUCUUUGUGCCCUUCAGUGGUGGACGAAGGCUCCAGCGAGGUGUUUGCAGCCUACAGAGGCCAUGAGCACGGUGCCUCUGCCUGUUGGUUCACCAAGCGAAGGCAACAGAGUCAAAGUAGCGGAAGGCCUGUGCACGAUGGGGCUGUGAUACUGGCCUGGGUGAGCAGCUAGCACUAAUUUGAGCAGCCCAAAGGUCACGACUAUUUAUGCAGAUAAAAGGUCAGUGGCAAGCUGGCAGGUGGCUGUGGGCUAUCUUGGUACGCGCUGCGCCCCGGGCGCUGAUGUCUGCGUCUGGUUCACAGUUAGUUUGUCUUUCCACAUGGACUUUCAGGCCAGGUUCUGGCUGAAAUAAAACACAACGGGGAAAGAAAUCUCUGGUCGUGUGAGUUGAUGCUGUUGGGAGACAGCUGCAGUUUUUGUGGCUUGGGCUCAUCUGUAGCUAAAUCAAACCUUUGAAUCAUUAUUUAUAAAAGACAGCCAAAUUCUGAACCGUUUGCUCAGUGUUUAGUCAGCUCUUACAUGGACAAACUCCUGUGAAAGCGUGCGUGAUGGCAGACAAGGGAAAAACUGAAUCAGGUGCCCUGUUGAGAGGCAGCAUGUCUGGCCAGGAACUCCAGCAGCAGUGGGCGUCUGCACUGCAGGUGCCUGGGAAGAAGUCACCUCAGAGGGGCAGGACCUUACAGCACGGCCUGAAUUGCCAGAGCAUGUUCAGGUUAGCUGAAACAACAUCUAGGUGGGCGAAAAAGGGAAGCAAGUAUACUAUGUUUAGUCCAGUCAGAUUCUAUGCUAUGUAUGUUUGAAACUUUUAUAGUCAGUCAGUACCAGUGCCGCAUCCUUUGCUCUCAUUAAAGAGCAAAAAUGCUUUCAACCUUUGGUUCCAGGAGUUGUCUGUCUGCCUAUACCAAUUUUAAACAAAAUCCUUUAAUGUUCUCCUGUAAUUUGGUCCAAUACAGCCUGGUCUCCAAGACAAAAUAUGCAAAAUAUUUUGUGACAUUUCAUUCCCCAAACAAAAGGUAAUGGGAAAACAUCAUUAUAUUGAUUUGUUUUUCAUCACAGAGGUAUUUGGCAGCAUGCCCUAAUUAAGGUUGUAGCAAUAAUUUUAUUAUAAGCACUGCUUUGCCUCCCCUGGUAAUUUUUUAAUAGGAGUUAGCUAUUAGUCUGUUAUUUUGGUUUGCUAAUAAAGAAAAAAAAAAUAUGUUACAAUGGAAACCUCCCAUGUAGAAAGCAACCAAAGCUAGUUGUCUUCAGACCUGGAAAAGCAUUUCUUUUUUUCUGUCUUCCCAUUGGAAUGGAUGACCACUAAAUUCUUCCCUGACUGCUGUCUUCCUAGGCCUGCCCCCACACCCAGGGAAGUUUAAGCAGUGACUUGAGCACCACCUGCUAGGAUGUGUUUUGUCAAGACUGAUAUCUCUAUUAUACCCUUUCUUCACUUCAUAUUUGGCGGACUUGGCUAUAGGCAAACUGAAAUGAAUCUGCAGCAGUGGCAUAGUCUGAUAGGUGAAACAGACUAAUUUGUAUGUGUUUUCCCACUGAAAAUGGCAAAAUUCCAGCCACUGAACGUUCACGAGUAUUCUGCUCAUUGUGUUCAAGCCAAAAAGUCUCCACAGGACAUUAGGGUUUGACCCGAUGUCCGCAGACACGCUGCACACAACCCAAGUGUGGUGGCACACUGGGUGGCCAUGCAGGACUUCCCUUCGAUGGAGCCUUCUGGCCCACCAGUGGGAGUGCAGGUGACUCCUGCAGACUUUCUCUCAAAUCUCUUUGGAGGAAAUUAAAAUAAGCCUUUGCAGAAACUGGAGGAAUCGGAAUGCACCCAGCCAUUUUCUGGAUUUAAUGCUACCUCUUGUGUUAUUGUCUUCAGUCUCUGAAAAACAGAACUGUCCAGUAGAUAAUGACUGUUAGAUUACUAAUUAGCACAUUUCUGUUAUCUUGGAGCAAAUACAUUUUUUAUGCUUUCCCUCCUAUUAAAGUAUUUCAGAAAACAAAACAGAAAAAGCAAAAUCUAAUUCAUAAUCGAGUGUUAUGGGCCAUCAAUUCUUGUAUUUCAAGAACAUAGGCUGGAAAGGGGAACGUCUGCUGCUCCUGCCCAGGGUACCCUCCCACAUUCUGCAUCUCCAAGGAGAGACUGUUCCAGCAGGAUGAGCUGGUAUAGCGAG
ensembl:lncRNA